GAAAACGAUGAUGAGUCAUACAGACCUGUAAUGAUUGCAGAUAUGAUUGCAAUUGUUUUUGAACAUCUAAGGGACUGAGUUUUU
rnacentral:snoRNA from 1 species